UGCAGUCGAACGGUGAAGGCGGGAGCUUGCUCCUGCCGGAUCAGUGGCGAACGGGUGAGUAACACGUGAGUAACCUGCCCUUGACUCUGGGAUAAGCGUUGGAAACGACGUCUAAUACCGGAUACGAGCUUCAGCCGCAUGGCUAGGAGCUGGAAAGAACUUCGGUCAAGGAUGGACUCGCGGCCUAUCAGCUAGUUGGUGAGGUAAUGGCUCACCAAGGCGACGACGGGUAGCCGGCCUGAGAGGGUGACCGGCCACACUGGGACUGAGACACGGCCCAGACUCCUACGGGAGGCAGCAGUGGGGAAUAUUGCACAAUGGGCGCAAGCCUGAUGCAGCAACGCCGCGUGAGGGACGACGGCCUUCGGGUUGUAAACCUCUUUUAGCAGGGAAGAAGCGAAAGUGACGGUACCUGCAGAAAAAGCACCGGCUAACUACGUGCCAGCAGCCGCGGUAAUACGUAGGGUGCAAGCGUUGUCCGGAAUUAUUGGGCGUAAAGAGCUCGUAGGCGGUUUGUCGCGUCUGCUGUGAAAACGCGAGGCUCAACCUCGCGCCUGCAGUGGGUACGGGCAGACUAGAGUGCGGUAGGGGAGAUUGGAAUUCCUGGUGUAGCGGUGGAAUGCGC
rnacentral:rRNA from 1 species